GACUGGGUCGAGCGAUGGUCAAGAAAAAUAAAUUCAGCUACUAUCUUAUCCAUUCGUAUCCGCUCGACCGGGUUUGAUUUCAUUCGAUCAGGUCAAGCAAGGGUUGAAAGAGACGUUUUUUUCCUUUGCAUUACAUAGUUGCUUUUGUAUGUUUAAAACACUUUAGAACUUAUACGUCCAACAAUUAUUACUCUUGAAGUAAGAUUACCGAUUUGAACAACUUUUAAAAAAAGAAUGGAGCGUUUUCAUUUGACUGGUUGAUGGGAAACAGGAUGAGAGAACAUGAUUAUGACUAUUGACCAGCAACACUCUCUUUUUAAUCCAUCCCCAUCAACUCCAUUACUCGAAGAUUCUUUUUUCCCAACACUCUCCAAUUUUUUGUUUAGCAACUCAGUGAUUCGAAGCACACAAUGCUAUUUUCCCUGUCUUAAAAGUAGAAUAAUGUUGAAAAAAGCGAUGUACUCUAGGUGUAGCACCAGUCCAUCUGCUAUGCUUCAGCUGAUUCGUAAUGCUCAAACCAAAUUGUUCGUUGGAGGUGGUCUUCCCUCUUUGCUUCUUCUGUGUAGUCUAUCCACCUCUCCGGUUCUUGAAUGUUUAUUUGCAUGCCAGUGUUCAACCGAUAUGCAAAUUUGAAAAUAGGGUUUUUGUUUAGUCUGCCUUUGGUGGAGGUUAUUUACUAGUUUAAAACACUUGAUUUCUCAAAUGUUAGUACAUAACAAAUUCCGUGCUUCUUCAACCAUAGUUAACUUAUCCUUCAUGGCUUUUUUCAUGGACUCGUCAGAUUUAUGUCAUGUUCUUUCUCAAAGCACUUGGUGGAGGUUUUUGUUUAGUCUGCCUUUGGUGGAGGUUAUUUACUAGUUUAAAACACUUGAUUUCUCAAAUGUUAGUACAUAACAAAUGUUAGUAUAGGGCUUUCCUUUGAUUCCAACGAAACUGUAUUACGGGAUGCUUUCUCAAAGCACGGUGACAUUAUUGAAGUUAGGGUUAUAUGCGACCAUGUCUUAGGCAAAUCAAAAGGAUACGGAUUUGUGAAGUUUGCCUCUGAAGAUAGUGCUGCAUCAGCUCUUAAAGAAAUGAAUGAUUAGGUUGGAUUCUUGUCACUAUCGCAUACGAUCUUGAAGCUAAAUAUUCCGUGUUUAUUAUCUACAUAUGAUCUUGAAGCUUAAUGCUUAUAACCUGUUUUUUUUGCGGCUCAGCAGGUAUUAGACGGGAGGAGUAUCCGUGUUUAUCAUGCUCACAAAAACUGAUAAGGGUGUUUCUUAUGCACUUUGUAGGUUAAAACCUCUUGUUCUCAAUCUACAAUGUGAUAAUAAUUGGAUAUGCCUAUCAAGGGCAAAAUGAAAGACAAAAGAAUAGACGAUAGAGAAUCCUUAAAUAUGGCCUUUUAGCAAGAAUCAACUUGCAAGCAUGAAUGCAUAAUCAAAAAGAAAUACAAGCAAAUAACAAAUUACAAGAACCAAGAUACAAAGGAGAUGUUGAAUUGUUGUUGCUUCGCUGUUGUGGUUAUGCUAGUGCUCAUAGUUGUCGACAUGUUGAUGUUGUCGAAGGGAAAAUCAACCUCAUAGUUCAAUCUCCCUUUUGCGGAUAAAUGAUUCUGCUUCUUCAGUAUUGACAGUAUCAGGCUAUGGCUUAGAUUGAUCAAAAUGAAAAUGAAAAUACAAAUUGAAGCAGUCGCAUUAUUAAUGAGAUUUUAUUUGUCAUUUUUUACGCCUAAUUUCUUUUAAUAGUUAUUUAAAAUUUUAUACCCCUGAAAAUACUUACCUGGAACACCAUAGAAUUUUUAUAUUAUUUAAU